ensembl:snoRNA
CCCUCUUUAACAGCAUGCAGUAGGCCAUUUGCUAAUGACUCAUUGGGCCAUCAAGAAGUGGCAGAGUGACAAAACUGCUUUUGGGUGAAAUGGUAGCAUGUGCUGUUUUGCUUCAAACAGUGGUAUGACAAGU